rnacentral:tRNA from 1 species
AAAGGGCUUAGCUUAAUUAAAGCGACUGAUUUGCGUUCAGUAGAUGUAAUAUGGAGUUUUGCAGUCCUUA